ensembl:lncRNA
CAUGUAAAACUCCUGCCAACAGAGAUGCCUAGUUUGUAUUUGCCCUCAUGAAUCCCACUUCCACAUCUUCAUUCCACAGCCCUAGCCAUGGGGCCAUAAAAGCCUCUUAUGUAUAUUUUUAGUGUAUAUUAUGCUUGCCAGAGCUCUUUUGGUGAACAUAGGUGGGUCGGCAAAUUUUAUCUCCCUUUGGGUUAGCUCUUUCAUUUUUAAAAGAUUUUAAAGCAAUUUCUAUUUUCUGUUUGUUUCAGAAAGGUUUUAGAGGCUGAAAAUAGCCAUCCCUCUUGCCUUUUAUCCCAAAAGGCAUAAAUGUCCGGUCCUCAAGGUCAGAUCCUGUGCAAGACAGCAAACCCUUCCCCAGUCCCAUGUGAAAUCCUCUUUCUGUUUCAUGCUAUUUCACCAGCCUGUGAAAAUGGGUUGGAUUUGUUACUUUUUUGGUUUGUCUCAAUCCUUACUACAUGGCCCUCUUAUGCUGUGAGUAUAAAGAAGAAUGUAGCCAGAAAUAGAGUGAGGAAUGGAAUUUAAUGUUUAAAUCAGCAGAAUUUGCAACCACCCACAUUGCUUCAUAAUUACAUGUAAAAGAUGGUCAGCUUGCUGAGUUGUUGGUUUCCUCCUGGAUCUCUGCUCUUCCUUGGGCUAAAAUGGGGCCAUGUUGUCUUUUUGAGGUGUUACUCUAACAGAGCCAUACUACACAUUGCAUUUGUCUAAGCCUUAUUAAUAUUUGCUUGCUGCUUGCUCCUCUUGGCCGUUAUUCCUAUUGAAAUGUUUUUCUCUACAGGAGUAGUCUUCAAACUCCUUUACAAGCUUCCCUGACCUUCAGAAGGGAGGUCAUUUAGUUUAACUUUCUCAACACACUGGAUGGGAGUUCCCACCUUGGUGCAGUGGGUUAAGAAUCUGACUGCAGUGGGUUGGGUUGCUGCAGAGGUGUAGGUUCAGUCCUCCACCUGGCACAGUGAAGAAUACCCACUUCUCAGGCAAGCCUAGGUCACGAGGGAUCUAAGAACACCAACCAAAUCGGUAGUAAGUGAUCUUGCCUCUGGCCUCUUUAGUCAAUGGCGGGUGGCCCUUGACCUCAAAUCCCACUGCUUUUUGACCAUAACCUUCCUAGCUCUGAGUGUCAGCUGGUUGUGUGUAGACAUAAGCCUGUGUGCUGUGGACGAUGCCAAUAGGGAGGGUUCACGAAUGGAGCCUCGUCCAUCUACUCUUCCUAGGAGAUGUGUUCUCUCUGUUUGUAUUUUUUCCAACCCGUGGGCAAACCCGUCUUUUGCCCAACACAUUUGUAUUUCAGCCCAUGUCUACAGGGCUUUAUUUCCAUCAUUUGGCUUUUAGGUCUUGUGGUCUUUGGGAGUGGUCUGGGACGUGGCAGGAGCCAUAAUUAUUUAGGACCCCCUCCCCCUUGUCCAUCUUGUUCCAGUGCUGAGUCCACCUUAACUAGAGUUGUGGUAAAAAAAAUCUUGUUAAUGUUAGGCAUGGGCAUAUUCUUUAAAUAGCUCAAAGAAAGGCAGCCAAUUUCCCUGAAACAGUUUUAUUCAUGAGUCUAAGAAUUCUAAGGAUAUCUGAGAAUGUAUGAUUUCUUUUUCAUGCCCUAGAUUUGAGAUUUUCUUCAUAGUGCGUAUAUGUAUAUAUUUUUCUUUCUUUCUUUUUAUGGCCACAUCUGUGGAAUAUGGAAGUUCCUGGGCUAGGAGUUGAAAUGGAGCUUCAGCUACCAGCCCACGCCACAGCAAUAGUAACACUGCAGCUUGCAGCAAUGAGGGAUCCUUAACCCACUGAGUCAGGCCAGGGAUCAAAUCCACAUCCUCACAGACACUAUGUUCAGUUCUUAACUUACUUAGCCACAUCAGGAACUCCUCCCAUAUUGUAUCUUAAGAGAGUUUAGAAACUUUUAGGGAGAAUGGGCCUUCAUAAUUAUAUCUUGCAAAUUCAAGGACCUCAGCAUUCUAGCUGCCCUGUACUUUCAAAGCAAAAUAGCUAUUUUUAGUGGUUUCUCACCAUUGAAUUAAUGAGAUACAGGGUAAAGUGUAACUUGUAGCUUUAAAAGUCAUUUACCAGUUCACAUCUUCUGGGAAGGAGAAGGAAGUGCGUGGCAAGAGCUGCCUUUUUUUGAGCCCCUGUUUAAUGCCAAUCCCUGUGGGAGGCCUUUUGCACGUAUUAUCUCCUUCCAUCUUUAUUAUCCCCAUUUCACAGAAGGUAAAAACUGAGGCUCAAAGAUUUGUAGGAUCAUAGAACUGGAGAACAUCAUGGAAUAAAUAUCGUCAUGAAAUGAACAUUGUUUCAUGACAUAAAUUUGUUCUUACUAUAUUUACUCUGUAUGUACUUUGUUUCUGACCACCCCUGCCCACAAUAGGUUGAUGUGAAACCUGGGAGAAAUGUAGUGGAAAUAAUGUCCUCAGUUUAUGCUGGUGGGGCUGGAGCUCAAGAACUUUCCAGAUGCUGUGAACCUUCGAGGAAGGCACAUUGCUAAUCUCUCCAGUCCCUUAUCUGUGAAGUAAGUGUAGAACUACUCACUCUGAUAUAGUUACAUUAAAAUGUAUCAGGUGCAGCAGAAAUGAGCCAGACUAGUAUCCAUGAGGAGGGGGUUUCAAUCCAUGGCCUCGAUCUGUAGGUCAAGGAUCUGCUGUUGUUGUGAGCUGUGGUGUAGGUUGCAGAUGCAGCUCAGAUCCAGCAUUUCUGUGGCUGUGGUGUAGGCCGGCAGCUACAGCUCCAAUUCCAUCCCUAACCUGAGAACGAACUUCCAUAAGCCCUGGGUGUGGCCCUAAAGAGUAAAAUAAAAUAAAAAAUAAAAUGUAGGGAGUUCUCUGAUGGCCUAGCAGGUUGAGGCGCCUGCGUUCUCACCACUGUGGCUCUGGUUGCUGCUAUGUGGCGUAGAUUCAAUCCCUGGCCCAGGAAUUCCCACAUACUGCCUGUGUGGCAAAAAAGAAAAAA